UAAUGCCCCUUCAAUCCAACUCAUUUCCUACUAACAUAUACACUAUCCAGUCCUUUCCUUUCGAGCAACAGACACCAAUUUCCAAUCCAAUUCCCUUUCUCUCACAAUACAAUAUAUACCAGUACAUACACACACAUAUCACAGACACGCACGAUCCUUUUUCCUUUUUUCUCUUUCCCUCAGACUCACGCGCAACAAGCUCCAAACUAGAAGCUCUAAUCAUCCCCAUUUUCCUGUGAUGAUCCCCAAAAAUCUGGCAAAUUUUGUGUUCAUCCAUCUCCCUCAAGUCAAUUUGGGAGCAGCACUCGAAAUCAGUGUGAGAAUUGAUCUGCUCAAGUCAUUGUUUCAAGUUCGCUGCCCAGAUAAAGCAAAGGAAGACCUCCAUUCAAAGAUGCUCGGAGGUGUAGUAGAAGUUCAAGAAUGAAGAUUUCAUAUGGAAACUUAGUUUAUAAUUUUCUAUUGUACUUAGUUUACAAUUUUCUAUUGUACCCCAACGUGGGACCGAUGUUAUUUUUUUCUUUCCCUUAUCAUGUACUCCCAUUUGGUUUAUUCACAAAGUUUGUAUAAGAAGCAAUGGUACAUAUUACAAAUGAUAUACACAUCCUUCAAAUGUUAUGCUCACCUUUGGCUUAAAAGGUCACAUAUAUAUUAGGACACGUUAUAUAUUGUUUA